CCCGACCCUGGUCUGCGACAUACCCUCCUCGACCCUGGUCUGCGACAUACCCUCCCCGACCCUGGUCUGCGACAUACUCUCCCCGACCCUGGUCUGCGACAUACCCUCCCCGACCCUGGUCUGCGACAUACCCUCCCCGACCCUGGUCUGCGACAUACCCUCCCCGACCCUGGUCUGCGACAUACUCUCCCCGACCCUGGUCUGCGACAUGCUCUCCCCGACCCUGGUCUGCGACAUACUCUCCCCGACCCUGGUCUGCGACAUACCCUCCCCGACCCUGGUCUGCGACAUGCUCUCCCCGACCCUGGUCUGCGACAUGCUCUCCCCGACCCUGGUCUGCGACAUGCUCUCCCCGACCCUGGUCUGCGACAUGCUCUCCCCAACAACUGACAGCACUUUUUUGACGUUUUUUUUUUUACAUGUUUGUGGCAAAAGGGGGCGUGUGCAUUAAAACAGGCCGGCGUUAUCGCCUCUGUCAUAGACAUUUUUUUUUAUUGAACAUGUUCAAUAUGUCGGCAUCUAGUGCCAACACCGCUGUAGUAUGGGAGAUUUUAAGGCAUGAGAUUCCUCCAUUUUCUUUUCUGUUUUUGUUAUCAUUGUGUAGUUAGUUGUACAUAUGUUUAUGUAGCGGCGCAAGAUAAUUACUAGAUUGGGUAUUUUCGGAAUGGUGAGUGAUACUGCUUUUUAUAUAGCAUGCUAGAAUAACAUGAAGUUUUACACAUUUCAGUGGAGUUUGUUUCUAUGGUUAGGUGUUUUUUUUUCGUUGUCUUUUUGUUGCAAAUUUGCAGAAUGCCGCCCAUUUGUAAGCUGAUUGAAAAUAUAUGAAUUUGUCGUAAUGAAAUAUGUUCCUCCCUUGCCACUUCUGAGUAGUGUGUAAAGGGAAAUCUAGUAAGAAGCUUUUAGGCGAGGUCGAUGUCCUCCUGUCUGUCCAUUCCCCUGGGCGGGUUUCCCAUGUUCUCCAGUUUGUCCCGGAACAGUGCAGAUCGUGUUUGUAAUCCGUCUUUUUUGAAGCGCGCCAAAACUCUUUCCCGCACAGUCAGAGACCAUUGGCUUGUGGAUUUGUACUGUCACCCAGAUAUCCUCUGACUGUCUGAGGAGUUUGACAUAGCAGUGUAUUUCUCAAUACAUCUGAAAGUGGGUUGAUUAUCCAUAGCAUUUGACAAAAUUAGAACUUUACAAAAAUUGUUUUUGUAUUUUAUCCCCUUUUUCUCUGCAUUUUUGUGAUAUCCAAUUGCGAUCGUAUUACGAUCUUGUGUCAUCGCUGCAACUCCCCAACGGGCUCGGGACAGGCGUAGGUCGAGCCGUACAUCCUCCGAAACAUGACACGCCAAGCCACACUUCUUAACACCCGCCCACUUCACCCAGAAGCCAACUGCACCAAUGUGUCGAAGAAAACAUUGUUCAACUGACGACCGAGGUCAGCCUGCAGGCGCCCGGCCCGCCACUAGGAGUUGCUAGAGCGCGAUGAGGCAAAUAAAGCCAAACACUCCCCUAACCCAGACAAUGCUGGGCCAAUUGUGCACUGCCCUAUGAGACUCCCGUACACAGUCGUUUGUGACACUGCCUGGGAUCGAACCCAGGUCUGCAGUGACGUCUCAAGCCUUAAACCGCUGAGCGACUCGGGAGGCCUUGACACAAACUUUUGUCAUGGCAAUGGUCGUGUUGAGCGACGUUGCCCCUGCAUUUUACAAGAAAUCUCAAAUUCUGGGAUCCAAUAAUUUAUAUAGGCAAACAUAUUUCAAGGGGCAAUUCUUAGUGUCCAUUUUGGAAAAGUGACUAUUGACUGCUUAUGGGCAUUGCAGAGUGUUGCCAGUCAGCUGUUGUUCUCAGAACCUAGGAUUAAGCUAUGUAUCCUGGACUGUUGAUACAGUGUUCCUUCCUCAUCUCUAUUUUACUACAGAAGUGUAAUGUUCUGUAUUUUGUAAUGAAACGCCACGCAAGACUGUAUGGUGCUGAUGUGAAAACCCUGAGAGGUGCACUAUCACUUGUUAAAAGCUACCUAGUCUGAUCUCUCUCUGUCACACACACACACACACACACACCAGUUGCCAUGCUCCCGUCCUUGGCUGAUACCCGUCUCAAUCUGCACAUUUUCUAGGACUCCAUGGUUUCCCCUGGAAGUGAUAACUGUGGGUAAGAGUUGAACCUGAACUAUGGUCUGUAGUAUUACGGUUGUUUCAUCACUGUUUAUUUGAUGUAGUACUCACUCAGAUCCAGCAGGGGUGCUACUCUCACCCCCAAAAAACACUUGUAUAUACAUCUAGAAAAAGUCAAAUGCAUGCUUAUUUUCACACUCGUCCCCUUUCUUUUGUAAUGUAGAUUCUAUUUUGCUACCAAGUAUUUUUGUAGAAAGGGGAUGGUAUAGCAUUAUAUGCUCUGCUCCUGAUGUCGUCACGGCGAUGGAGACAUACUGCUGUCAGGUGGAGAGGAUACUGUUUUGGGGAAAGCAGGUUUUGUUUAUUUAGUUUUUUUUAAGGGAAAUGUUUGCCACGGUCAGGCUAUGUACAUAGUAGGACCAAGUCCCCUUUCUGUCAGUCAGUACUUUCUUCAAUACUCUACUCCUCUAAUGAAAUGCAGGAUUUUAAGCCUUCUUACUGUGUGCGUGGAAGUGUAUGAGUGUUUGUGUCAAUAUGAAUAUGAUCAUUGUGGUCCUGAUGGUUUUGGGCUAGAGGAGGACAGAAGGGAAGUAGGGGGGAGAUUAGAUCUCCCUGUAAUGACCGACAGCAUUGCUUAUUAUUAAAAUCCCCUCACUGAAGACUGCACUAUCCGGAAUGGCACCCUAUUCCCUACAUAGUGCACUACUACCCAUAGGGCGCUGGUCAAAAGUAGUGCACUACUACCCAUAGGGCGCUGGUCAAAAGUAGUGCACUACUACCCAUAGGGCGCUGGCCAAAAGUAGUGCACUAAGUGCCAUUCCAGAUGCAGCCCAUUUGUCUUUAUUAGGAGUGGUCUGGGUUUUGGGUGUUUCCAUUCCCAUCUUACUGUAUGGAGGUGCUUGGUAGAGGUGGAGGGAAUUGAACCAUGGUCUCCUACAGCACUUAGUUACUUAAGUGCAUUGACCAAGCGCAAGCGUCUGUCUUGACGCUAACCCAACGAUGAUAACUGCUAGCCGUUAUCGUUACAGUGAUGCUAACCCAACGGUGCUAGCUGUUAACAUUAGUGAUGCUAACCCAACGGCGCUAGCAGUUAACAUUACAUUGAUGCUAAGCCAACGGUGCUAUCCGUUAACAUUACAGUGACACAGAGCAGUGUGUAUGAGGGUAUACUGUAUCACUGUUUUUCACUGCUCUCCAUGUACAUUGUCCUACAAGGACAUUCAGAAAAAGUAGUAUCUACCGAUCUGGAGAAAGAGAUUUGCUCUUUGUAAAGCUGUCCCCAAGUGUCCAGGUGAAUUGAACCUAAACUCACCGUCCUAUAGGACCAUUGAAAAUCCAAUGGUACAUGCAUUUACCUGAUAGAAUAUAUUUUAUUAGCAAAGAAAUGUUUUUAAUCUGCUCUUCAAGUUGUAUUGCUUGUUCUUGUUUCCACCCGUACUAUUCUGUGUAUUAGUUGUUUGUCCUUUUUAUGCUCCCAAAUCUUUUAAUGUCAUUUUGUAUAAAUAUAUAUCCUUAUUUUUUUCUUUGCAUAGGAAAUGUUGUCAAAAUGAUGCAUCAUACUUGUAUCUGUUAUUGUUGGUCUUUUAAUAAAAAAAUACAUAUCUC
rnacentral:lncRNA from 1 species